rnacentral:rRNA from 1 species
AUUUGAUAGUACCUUACUACUUGGAUAACCGUGGUAAUUCUAGAGCUAAUACAUGCUAAAAACCCCAACUUCGGGAGGGGUGUAUUUAUUAGAUAAAAAACCAAUGCCCUUCGGGGCUCCUUGGUGAUUCAUAAUAACUUCUCAGAUCGCAUGGCCUUGCGCCGGCGACGGUUCAUUCAAAUUUCUGCCCUAUCAACUUUCGAUGGUAAGGUAUUGGCUUACCAUGGUUUCAACGGGUAACGGGGAAUUAGGGUUCGAUUCCGGAGAGGGAGCCUGAGAAACGGCUACCACAUCCAAGGAAGGCAGCAGGCGCGCAAAUUACCCAAUCCCGACACGGGGAGGUAGUGACAAUAAAUACUGAUACAGGGCUCUUUAGGGUCUUGUAAUUGGAAUGAGUACAAUUUAAACCUCUUAACGAGGAACAAUUGGAGGGCAAGUCUGGUGCCAGCAGCCGCGGUAAUUCCAGCUCCAAUAGCGUAUAUUAAAGUUGUUGCAGUUAAAAAGCUCGUAGUUGAACCUUUGGCCUGGCUGGCGGGUCCGCCUCACCGCGUGCACUCGUCCGGCCGGGCCUUUUCUUCUGGAGAACCGCAUGCCCUUCACUGGGUGUGUUGGGGACCAGGACUUUUACUUUGAAAAAAUUAGAGUGUUCAAAGCAGGCCUUUGCUCGAAUACGUUAGCAUGGAAUAAUAGAAUAGGACGUGCGGUCCUAUUUUGUUGGUUUCUAGGACCGCCGUAAUGAUUAAUAGGGACAGUCGGGGGCAUCAGUAUUCAAUUGUCAGAGGUGAAAUUCUUGGAUUUAUUGAAGACUAACUACUGCGAAAGCAUUUGCCAAGGAUGUUUUCAUUAAUCAGUGAACGAAAGUUAGGGGAUCGAAGACGAUCAGAUACCGUCGUAGUCUUAACCAUAAACUAUGCCGACUAGGGAUCGGGCGGUGUUACUAUUUUGACCCGCUCGGCACCUUACGAGAAAUCAAAGUG